rnacentral:rRNA from 1 species
AACGCUAGCUACAGGCUUAACACAUGCAAGUCGAGGGGCAUCAGGAAGAAAGCUUGCUUUCUUUGCUGGCGACCGGCGCACGGGUGAGUAACACGUAUCCAACCUGCCCUUUACUCGGGGAUAGCCUUUCGAAAGAAAGAUUAAUACCCGAUAGCAUAAUGAUUCCGCAUGGUUUCAUUAUUAAAGGAUUCCGGUAAAGGAUGGGGAUGCGUUCCAUUAGGUUGUUGGUGAGGUAACGGCCCACCAAGCCUUCGAUGGAUAGGGGUUCUGAGAGGAAGGUCCCCCACAUUGGAACUGAGACACGGUCCAAACUCCUACGGGAGGCAGCAGUGAGGAAUAUUGGUCAAUGGGCGCUAGCCUGAACCAGCCAAGUAGCGUGAAGGAUGAAGGCUCUAUGGGUCGUAAACUUCUUUUAUAUAAGAAUAAAGUGCAGUAUGUAUACUGUUUUGUAUGUAUUAUAUGAAUAAGGAUCGGCUAACUCCGUGCCAGCAGCCGCGGUAAUACGGAGGAUCCGAGCGUUAUCCGGAUUUAUUGGGUUUAAAGGGAGCGUAGGUGGACUGGUAAGUCAGUUGUGAAAGUUUGCGGCUCAACCGUAAAAUUGCAGUUGAUACUGUCAGUCUUGAGUACAGUAGAGGUGGGCGGAAUUCGUGGUGUAGCGGUGAAAUGCUUAGAUAUCACGAAGAACUCCGAUUGCGAAGGCAGCUCACUGGACUGCAACUGACACUGAUGCUCGAAAGUGUGGGUAUCAAACAGGAUUAGAUACCCUGGUAGUCCACACAGUAAACGAUGAAUACUCGCUGUUUGCGAUAUACAGUAAGCGGCCAAGCGAAAGCAUUAAGUAUUCCACCUGGGGAGUACGCCGGCAACGGUGAAACUCAAAGGAAUUGACGGGGGCCCGCACAAGCGGAGGAACAUGUGGUUUAAUUCGAUGAUACGCGAGGAACCUUACCCGGGCUUAAAUUGCAGUGGAAUGAUGUGGAAACAUGUCAGUGAGCAAUCACCGCUGUGAAGGUGCUGCAUGGUUGUCGUCAGCUCGUGCCGUGAGGUGUCGGCUUAAGUGCCAUAACGAGCGCAACCCUUAUCUUUAGUUACUAACAGGUUAUGCUGAGGACUCUAGAGAGACUGCCGUCGUAAGAUGUGAGGAAGGUGGGGAUGACGUCAAAUCAGCACGGCCCUUACGUCCGGGGCUACACACGUGUUACAAUGGGGGGGUACAGAAGGCAGCUAGCGGGUGACCGUAUGCUAAUCCCAAAAUCCUCUCUCAGUUCGGAUCGAAGUCUGCAACCCGACUUCGUGAAGCUGGAUUCGCUAGUAAUCGCGCAUCAGCCACGGCGCGGUGAAUACGUUCCCGGGCCUUGUACACACCGCCCGUCAAGCCAUGGGAGCCGGGGGUACCAGAAGUACGUAACCGCAAGGAUCGUCCUAGGGUAAAACUGGAG